rnacentral:misc_RNA from 1 species
GAUGAAGAACGCAGCGAAAUGCGAUACUUGGUGUGAAUUGCAGAAUCCCGUGAACCAUCGAGUCUUUGAACGCAAGUUGCGCCCGAAGCCAUUAGGCCGAGGGCACGCCUGCCUGGGCGUCACACGUCGUUGCCCCCCCAUCUACUCCUUCGGGAUUGCGGGGGGCGGAUGAUGGCCUCCCGUGCGCCUCGUCGCGCGGUUGGCAUAAAUGCCAAGUCCUCGGCGACGCACGCCACGACAAUCGGUGGUUGGGAAACCUCGGUUGCCCGUCGUGUGCGUUCGUCGCGCAUCGAGGGCUCGAAAAAAUGCUCGGCUCCGGCUGGGCUUUCAACGCGACCCCAGGUCAGGCGGGGUUACCCGCUGAAUUUAAGCAUAUCAAUAAGCGGAGGA